rnacentral:rRNA from 1 species
CAAUAGCGUAUAUUUAAGUUGCUGCAGUUAAAAAGCUCGUAGUUGGAUUUCGGGUGGGAAUGGCCGGUCCGCCGUUUCGGUGUGCACUUGCUACGCCCACCUUGCUGCCGGGGACGUGCUCUUGAGUUCACGCUCGGGACACGGAGUCGGCGAGGUUACUUUGAGUAAAUUAGAGUGUUCAAAGCAGGCCUACGCUCUAAAUACAUUAGCAUGGAAUAACACGAUAGGACUCUGGCCUAUCUUGUUGGUCUGUAGGACCGGAGUAAUGAUUAAGAGGGACAGUCGGGGGCAUUCGUAUUUCAUUGUCAGAGGUGAAAUUCUUGGAUUUAUGAAAGACGAACUACUGCGAAAGCAUUUGCCAAGGAUGUUUUCAUUAA